rnacentral:tRNA from 1 species
GCCGGGGUGGUGAAACUGGUAGACACGCCAGACUCAAAAUCUGGUGGGCAUUAGCCCGUGCCGGUUCGAGUCCGGCCCUCGGUA